AUACGGAGGGAGCGAGCGUUAAUCGGAAUUACUGGGCGUAAAGCGCGCGUAGGCGGCUUUGUAAGUCGGAUGUGAAAUCCCCGGGCUUAACCUGGGAAUUGCAUUCGAUACUGCAUGGCUAGAGUAUGGUAGAGGGUAGUGGAAUUCCAGGUGUAGCGGUGAAAUGCGUAGAUAUCUGGAGGAACAUCAGUGGCGAAGGCGGCUACCUGGACUAAUACUGACACUGAGGUGCGAAAGCGUGGGGAGCAAACAGGAUUAGAAACCCCGGUAGUCC
rnacentral:rRNA from 1 species